GAUGAAGAACGUAGCGAAAUGCGAUAAGUAGUGUGAAUUGCAGAAUUCAGUGAAUCAUCGAAUCUUUGAACGCACAUUGCGCCUCCUGGCAUUCCGGGAGGCAUGUCUGUUCGAGCGUCAUCAAACCCCAUCGUGCAAAUGAAUUAUUUUUUUUGCGCGGAAGUGACGAUUGAGCGAGAAUAACAAAUCCUCUCGCACCUCGUCGAAAUGAUUGCGGGCGGAAUUUGGGAUCGGGUUCCUCGGCGUAGUGUAUCAAUGCAUAUUUAUGCAACUUGCCGCGGAGUUGAGCCUGACCCACGCGUUCUCGCCGUACAAACACCUCAUUACUUUACAAGUUUUUGACCUCGGAUCAGGUAGGGAUACCCGCUGAACUUAAGCAUAUCAAUAAGCGGAGGA
rnacentral:misc_RNA from 1 species